GGGCGGUUAGCUCAGCUGGUAGAGCGUCGCAUUUACACUGCGAAUGUCGCGAGUUCGAUCCUUGCACCGCCCA
rnacentral:tRNA from 1 species